rnacentral:rRNA from 1 species
UACGUAGGGGGAAAGCGUUGUCCGGAAUUACUGGGCGUAAAGAGUGUGUAGGCGGUGCUCCAAGUCUGGUGUGAAAUCUCCCGGCUUAACUGGGAGGGUGCAUUAGAAACUGGAAUGCUAGAGGAUGGGAGAGGUAAGCGGAAUUCCUGGUGUAGCGGUGAAAUGCGUAGAUAUCAGGAGGAACACCUGUGGUGUAGACAGCUUACUGGACCAUUUCUGACGCUGAGACACGAAAGCGUGGGUAGCAAACAGG